GCAGGAACCCUCAGAGGGCUUAGAAGACCCGCAGCCCUCCCCCAUUGUGACAGGGGAGUUAGAAUUCUAUGGCAACAGUGGGUACCCCUGGGCCUCCCCUUCUGGUAGAGGCUGAAGGUCAGGAACAAGGAAGGAGGGAGUCUCCCGGAUGCAGAGAGUUUACAAGGCAAUGGGGAGGUGAGGGAGCCAGCCUCAGCCACCUUCCGCUUCCUGCAGAAAAUGGUCAAAGGGAGACGCUUCAACCCACCUUUAGACAAGGACGGAAGAUGGUUCCCUCAGAUUGGACUCACGCAAAAGACACCAGAAUCCAUCACCAGUGCGAUGUUAAAAGAACCCCACAGUCCACGUUUGUCUCGGCAAGUGGAGGGGAAGCUACCACCCAUCUACAAGGUUCGAGAGAAGCAAGCAGUGGACAACAACUUCCCCUUCUCUGUACACGACAAUCGCUACAGCUUUCAGAGCUCUGGAUGCUACCUUGACUCUGGCCUGGGACGUAAGAAGAUCUCCCCAGAGAAAAGGCAACAGGUGUCAAGAAAUUUCAACCUGUGGGCAUGUGACUAUGUCCCGACUUGUCUUGAUGGCUUUUCAAAUAACCAAAUAUCUUACGUCUGUCAAGAAAUCGUGGUGGUCCCAAUUUUCAGACGCUUCCCAAGACAUUAUAAUGAGAUAUGGAACUCUUUUAAAUUUAUUCCUCAGAGAAGCUAUACAGAGUUUUUGAAAAAAAAUCCAAAGUUUAAACAACACAGAGGAAGCAGAAGUCCCCCUUGAUUUCAUCCCAUCUCCAAUCCUUGUCCUGUCCCUGGAAUCGAAAUCGGACAGAUCUGCAGGUUUCCAAAUUGGGCAACACCGACAUAAAAGCACACAUCACGUUUUCUUCCCUUCUUUCCCUCGGCCCAAACGGAAGCCAGCUUCAGAAAGUCGGAUCCAAGAAGCGUUACUUCGGCAUCACCCGGGCGCUGGUCUGGUCACAUCACUUAUAGUGGACAACGCUGGCUCCCAGCAGAAGGACCAGGUAUGCUCAUGACCCAGGGUCAUAGAGUUGUUCACAGGAUCAUAAGCGACAGCACGAGCAUCUGGCCUUCCGUGCCCAAGAACACAUCGCUAUACCUUAGGCCUGAAGGAGAAAGAUUGAAACUGUCUUAAAUAUUCUCCUGCUGUUUAUAACCUUGGUGUGAGUGUCCAGGACCAUUGUCAGCCGUGAGUGGCGUGUGCAAUCCUUCCACACACGCCGUGGGAGUCCCCAAGGAGGAAGGACAAGCCUCAACAAUAUCCCAUGGAAGAAAUCGGACUGUUCCCCUGAGAACAGGCACCAACGUCUAACCUAACCAAUGCCUGACAUCUGUCACAUUCAGAAUCUUUAAAAGGAAGGAUUUGGCCCUGCGCACCCACAGUCACUGGAGAGCUCAGUGUCGUUAGCCGAUCAGCACAGCUCUGAUCAAAGCAGAAGAGAAAACAUCAGCGGGGUUUUACUACACAGUUCCGCCAGCCCCCAGAUGGAAACAAAUUAUUUUGACACCAAACUAUGAACUGAGCCAGAACAUCAACAUUCUCUCUCUGGAGCAAACCCGAUCUUCAGUCUACGUGUGGACACCUCUCCAUUCUCCAUGUUCGCCCUUUAUCAGCUUGCGUUUCACUCAAAGGAGCAUUUAAACACUAUUAUGGUGGGGGUGGGGGGCGGUCUGGACCGUGUUCAGUCCCUCCCCCCACGCCGGGGACUGUUGGGGACCAAGGGACAAGGGGGCCCAGUCUGGUGGGAGGCUGACACACGCUUAAGAGCUAAGUCAGUGGCUAAGCUGGACGCACAGGGCAAGGAUACGCACGAACUUUCUGGAACAGGUGUUCCCUCGCCAGAUUUGGAGAGACUGCCAUCUAACUGCCCUGGGCAGCAUUGAGAACCGAAGGCGCAGCUCGGGAGCCUCGGACAUGCAGCUUUUCGGUUUCUCCCUUUAUUGUCGGGUCACUGCCCACUCCCAGCACUGGCCCCAGCACUGGCCCGGGCUCCAAGGGGAAAGGAGUGUCCAGCCAAUAUUCACACGAUCACCCGGCGCCAUCCCCACAUGCUGAUACCAGGCAGCGGAGGGUCCUGGGAAGACAUCAGGAGAUUCGACAGCUGGAAUACAUUUUGUGUCUGUCGACGCGGGUUUAAUGUGACUUUGUGGAAGCCUGCGAUAGUUCACACUGGGAGAAGCAUUCCAAGUUUCCAGCUUGGAGUCAAAACAGAUGCUGCCGAGAGUUCUGAAAGCUGAGAUGCAAGAAUGAAUGAUGCCGUGGGGAAAAACCAGUGCCUUCCAAAACCUCUCAGUCUGUCCACACCUGUCUGAAUCCAGUUGGUACUAACGUGUCCACUCCGAGGUGAGGACAGGACGGCCACCGUUAAUAUAUCCCUUGGGUCGUGUCUCCAGUGUCAGAGCAAAGAGGGACCUGAUGAUU